AGCCACCAUUGAAAGAGUGCGUAAUAGCUCACUGGUCGAGUGACUCUGCGCCGAAAAUGUAACGGGGCUAAACACACCACCGAAGCUAUGGCUUGACCGCAAGGUCUUGGGUAGGGGAGCGUUGUGUACCGGGCUGAAGCAUGACCGGAAGGACAUGUGGACUGUACACAAGUGAGAAUGCCGGUAUGAGUAACGAAAAGACAAGUGAGAAUCUUGUCCGCCGAAAGCCUAAGGGUUCCUGAGGAAGGUUCGUCCGCUCAGGGUUAGUCGGGACCUAAGGCGAGGCCGAAAGGCGUAGUCGAAGGACAACAGGUUGAAAUUCCUGUACCGCCGUAAGCCGUUACGAGCGAUGGGGUGACGCAGAAGGGGAACGUUGCGGACCGAUGGAAGUGUCCGUCCAAGCAGUGAGGCUGACUUACAGGCAAAUCCGUAAGUCGUUAAGGCUGGGCUGUGAUGGGGAGGGGAACUCAAGUACCCGAAGAACAUGUACUCUGGCUGCCGAGAAAAGCCUCUAGCCAGGCGAAGGCGCCCGUACCGCAAACCGACACAGGUAGGCGAGCAGAG
rnacentral:rRNA from 1 species